rnacentral:rRNA from 1 species
UCCAGACUCCUACGGGAGGCAGCAGUGAGGAAUAUUGGUCAAUGGGAGAGAUCCUGAACCAGCCAAGUCGCGUGAGGGAUGACGGCCCUACGGGUUGUAAACCUCUUUUGUCGGGGAGCAAAGAGAGUCACGUGUGGCUCAUUGAGAGUACCCGAAGAAAAAGCAUCGGCUAACUCCGUGCCAGCAGCCGCGGUAAUACGGAGGAUGCGAGCGUUAUCCGGAUUUAUUGGGUUUAAAGGGUGCGCAGGCGGAGGUGCAAGUCAGUGGUCAAAUUGCGGGGCUCAACCCCGUACUGCCGUUGAAACUGCAUCCCUUGAGUGCGCGAGAAGUAUGCGGAAUGCGUGGUGUAGCGGUGAAAUGCAUAGAUAUUGCGCAGAACUCCGAUUGCGAAGGCAGCAUACCGGCGGCGAUCUGACGCUGAGGCACGAAAGCGUGGGUAUCGAACAGGAUUAGAUACCCGAGUA